ensembl:scaRNA SCARNA2 small Cajal body-specific RNA 2
AGGUAACGGUAAGGUCUCUGCACGCGUGGUGUUUGAUGUGCGUGAGGUGGCCGAGUUUAGCGUGGAAGGACGCGUGGAAGGCGAGUGAAUGUGUGUGGUGCAAGGCCGAGUGCGUGCGUGCAAGGAGAGUGCGUGCCCGCGUGCCGAGCCGGCCCUUCCUGAGCCCUUCCCCCCCUACACUCUGAUCUUAUUUGAUCGGGCCGGGCUCACGCCUCGCCGGCCCGGCCCGAGAUGAGAAGCUCCUCUCCCGCGAAGCCCCGACCGGCCGUGGCCGGGACGCUGUGCGGCGAGACCUGUGCGAACAGGCGGCGGCCGCUCCCGGGCUCCCCGAGCCAGCCCUUCCGCGGGCCGGGCCGGGCGCUCAGAAGUGAUGAGUUGAUCAGAUAGAUGAGGCGGGGCUCGCCCUAGCCCUUGAGUAUCGAGGCGAUUCUGAUCUGA